rnacentral:rRNA from 1 species
AACGAACGCUGGCGGCAGGCCUAACACAUGCAAGUCGAGCGAGGCAGCAAUGCCUAGCGGCGGACGGGUGAGUAACGCGUGGGAACGCACCCUUUGGUUCGGAAUAGCCCUGGGAAACUGGGAGUAAUACCGGAUACGGUCGAGAGACGAAAGAUUUAUCGCCGAAGGAUCGGCCCGCGUUGGAUUAGGUAGUUGGUGGGGUAAUGGCCUACCAAGCCGACGAUCCAUAGCUGGUUUGAGAGGAUGAUCAGUCACACUGGGACUGAGACACGGCCCAGACUCCUACGGGAGGCAGCAGUGGGGAAUCUUAGACAAUGGGCGCAAGCCUGAUCUAGCCAUGCCGCGUGAGCGAUGAAGGCCUUAGGGUUGUAAAGCUCUUUCGUGGGGGAAGAUAAUGACGGUACCCCAAGAAGAAGCCCCGGCUAACUCCGUGCCAGCAGCCGCGGUAACAC